GCAAGUCGAACGGUAGCAGGAUGUGCUUGCACAUCGCUGACGAGUGGCGGACGGGUGAGUAAUGCUUGGGAACUUGCCUUUGCGAGAGGGAUAACAGUUGGAAACGACUGCUAAUACCGCAUAACGUCUUCGGACCAAACUGCGCUUAGGCUCCGGCGCAGAGAGAGGCCCAAGUGAGAUUAGCUAGUUGGUGGGGUAAAGGCUCACCAAGGCAACGAUCUCUAGCUGGUCUGAGAGGAAGAUC
rnacentral:rRNA from 1 species